UACAGCGCGGUUCAUUUAAGGAAGAGGCACGUGCGAAGGAAACCACCUCGAUCUGGCGUCACGUCACUCAGAUGCAGGGGCAGAUGCGUCAUUCCAGGGCGUCACGGACGCGCACCUGUCGGCACACGGCGCGGGCGUGUUUGACCAUGCCCGACGUAAUCUGGAAAAGUCGGAGACCAGCCAAACCAACCGAGGCCCCCGUCAGAACCGCAAUCACAGGUUCUGAACAAGAUACAGGAAUGAGGUACAAGAGCAAGUGGACAGAAUAAAAGCAGGAAGCGUGUGCUUGUUACUGCAUGAUGCGUAAGACCCUUUUAAAAGCUGAAAGAGGCGGAAUGGACUGAUUGAAGACAAACCUGUGUUGCCGUGGAGAUUCUGACGGUCUGCGGCCAGUUCUUUUCACCCAGAUGCCUGCUGGGAAGGGGGAGGAGUGUAGGAGCGGAGGCGUGUUUACACUCCUCUGAUGAAGCUGUUUUAAUGGAAAACACGCCGCACAGCUGAAAGCACUCUCACAGCGCUUUGCUUUGGAUUUUAGCUGUGAAAUGUUCCUCCCAGUUUACAUCACCUGCUGAUGUUUUGGAUGUCCUCUCUCACGCACUGA